UACUCCUACGGGAGGCAGCAGUAGGGAAUCUUCGGCAAUGGACGGAAGUCUGACCGAGCAACGCCGCGUGAGUGAAGAAGGUUUUCGGAUCGUAAAGCUCUGUUGUAAGAGAAGAACGAGUGUGAGAGUGGAAAGUUCACACUGUGACGGUAUCUUACCAGAAAGGGACGGCUAACUACGUGCCAGCAGCCGCGGUAAUACGUAGGUCCCGAGCGUUAUCCGGAUUUAUUGGGCGUAAAGCGAGCGCAGGCGGUUAGAUAAGUCUGAAGUUAAAGGCUGUGGCUUAACCAUAGUACGCUUUGGAAACUGUUUAACUUGAGUGCAAGAGGGGAGAGUGGAAUUCCAUGUGUAGCGGUGAAAUGCGUAGAUAUAUGGAGGAACACCGGUGGCGAAAGCGGCUCUCUGGCUUGUAACUGACGCUGAGGCUCGGAAGCGUGGGGAGCAAACAGGAUUAGAUACCCUGGUAGUCCACGCCGUAAACGGUGAGUGCUAGGUGUUAGACCCUUUCCGGGGUUUAGUGCCGUAGCUAACGCAUUAAGCACUCCGCCUGGGGAGUACGACCGCAAGGUUGAAACUCAAAGGAAUUGACGGA
rnacentral:rRNA from 1 species